rnacentral:rRNA from 1 species
ACAUCGCCUCUUGACACCCAUAAGAGGUCCAGCCUGCCCAGUGACCAAUUUAACGGCCGCGGUACCCUAACCGUGCGAAGGUAGCAUAAUCACUUGUUUCCUAAAUAGAGACUAGCAUCAACGGCAUCACGAAGACUACGCUGUCUUCCUCCUAAAAUCAAUGAAACUGAUCCCCUCGUGAAGAAGCGAGGAUGCGGAUAUAAGACGAGAAGACCCCAUGGAGCUUUAAACUAACUUCAAUUGCUCCUAAUCUUAUCAUAUAAAAUGAGCACUAAUAAAGGAUGUUUUCGGUUGGGGUGACCACGGAGUAAAACAAAACCUCCAUAGUGAAUGUAAUAAAUACUAACAAAAGAACUACAAUUCUAAUAAUCAAAAAAUUGACGCACUUGACCCAAAUAUUUGAUCAAUGAACCAAGUUACCCUGGGGAUAACAGCGCAAUCCAUUUUAAGAGCCCCUAUCGACAAAUGGGUUUACGACCUCGAUGUUGGAUCAGGGUAUCCUAGUGGUGCAGCCGCUACUAAUGGUUCGUUUGUUCAACGAUUAAAACCCUACGUGAU